AGCUACUCUGUAGCGACCUACCCGGGAACGGCUUACCCUGUAGCGCCUGCCGGUGGACUACUAAACUCUUGUUAUUUUUAAGUAAUCUGAGCGUCUUAUUUUAAUAAGUCAAAACUUUCAACAACGGAUCUCUUGGUUCUGGCAUCGAUGAAGAACGCAGCGAAAUGCGAUAAGUAAUGUGAAUUGCAGAAUUCAGUGAAUCAUCGAAUCUUUGAACGCACAUUGCGCCCAUUAGUAUUCUAGUGGGCAUGCCUGUUCGAGCGUCAUUUCAACCCUUAAGCCUAGCUUAGUAUUGGGAACUGGCUUUACUGCCAUUCCUCAAAUUCAACGGCGGAUUUAUAGCAAUCUCUGAACGUAGUAAUUUUUUUCUCGUUUUUGAAAUACUGUAAACCUCAGCCGCUAAACCCCCCAAUUUUUAAUGGUUGACCUCGGAUCAGGUAGGAAUACCCGCUGAACUUAA
rnacentral:rRNA from 1 species